CAGGUGCUGCAUGGCUGUCGUCAGCUCGUGUCGUGAGAUGUAGGGUUUAAGUCCCGCAACGAGCGCAACCCCUACGUUUAGUUGCUAACGCGUGAAGGCGAGCACUCUAGACGAACUGCCGUUGCAAAACGGAGGAAGUGGGAUGACGUCAAAUCAUCAUGCCCUUAUGUUCUGGGCUACACACGUGCUACAAUGGCCGGUACAGACGGACGCAAAGCCGCGAGGUGGAGCAAAUCCUAAAAGCCGGUCUCAGUUCGGAUUGCAGGCUGCAAUUCGCCUGCAUGAAGUCGGAAUCGCUAGUAAUCGCAGGUCAGCAUACUGCGGUGAAUACGUUCCCGGGUCUU
rnacentral:rRNA from 1 species